CAUGUAGGCGGGACAGUAAGUCAGUGGUGCAAUGUAACGGCUCAACCGUUAACCUGCCAUUGAAACUACUGUUCUUGAGUUCAGGAGAGGGAAACGGAAUUCCAGGUGUAGCGGUGGAAUGCAUAGAUAUCUGGAAGAACACCGAAUGCGAAGGCAGUUUCCUGGCCAUGGACUGACGCUGAUGUGCGAAAGCGUGGGUAGCAAACAGGAUUAGAUACCCUGGUAGUC
rnacentral:rRNA from 1 species